rnacentral:rRNA from 1 species
GAUGAACGCUGGCGGCGUGCCUAAUACAUGCAAGUCGAGCGAACAGACGAGGAGCUUGCUCCUCUGACGUUAGCGGCGGACGGGUGAGUAACACGUGGAUAACCUACCUAUAAGACUGGGAUAACUUCGGGAAACCGGAGCUAAUACCGGAUAACAUGUUGAACCGCAUGGUUCAACAGUGAAAGACGGUUUUGCUAUCACUUAUAGAUGGAUCCGCGCCGCAUUAGCUAGUUGGUAAGGUAACGGCUUACCAAGGCAACGAUGCGUAGCCGACCUGAGAGGGUGAUCGGCCACACUGGAACUGAGACACGGUCCAGACUCCUACGGGAGGCAGCAGUAGGGAAUCUUCCGCAAUGGGCGAAAGCCUGACGGAGCAACGCCGCGUGAGUGAAGAAGGUCUUCGGAUCGUAAAACUCUGUUAUUAGGGAAGAACAAAUGUGUAAGUAACUAUGCACGUCUUGACGGUACCUAAUCAGAAAGCCACGGCUAACUACGUG